rnacentral:rRNA from 1 species
UACGGAGGAUGCGAGCGUUAUCCGGAUUUAUUGGGUUUAAAGGGUGCGCAGGCGGCGUGUCAAGCAAGCGGUAAAAUAGCGGGGCUCAACCCCGUCGAGCCGUUUGAACUGGCGCGCUUGAGUUCAGGCGAGGUAGGCGGAAUUCGUGGUGUAGCGGUGAAAUGCAUAGAUAUCACGAAGAACUCCGAUUGCGAAGGCAGCUUACCAGUCUGCGACUGACGCUCAGGCACGAAAGUGUGGGUAUCGAACAGG